rnacentral:rRNA from 1 species
UACGGAGGGUGCAAGCGUUAAUCGGCAUUACUGGGCGUAAAGCGCACGCAGGCGGUCUGUCAAGUCGGAUGUGAAAUCCCCGGGCUCAACCUGGGAACUGCAUUCGAAACUGGCAGGCUAGAGUCUUGUAGAGGGGGGUAGAAUUCCAGGUGUAGCGGUGAAAUGCGUAGAGAUCUGGAGGAAUACCGGUGGCGAAGGCGGCCCCCUGGACAAAGACUGACGCUCAGGUGCGAAAGCGUGGGGAGCAAACAGGAUUAGGUACCCUGGUAGUCCACGCCGUAAACGAUGUCGAUUUGGAGGUUGUGCCCUUGAGGCGUGGCUGCCGGAGCUAACGCGUUAAAUCGACCGCCUGGGGAGUACGGCCGCAAGGUUAAA